GGAUGGAUGGGAGCCAGCAGUCGGAGAAGAAGAGACGGUGACUAACCUCCGUAACUUGUUCUUCGAGAUGUUGCUCACGUCCAGUC
rnacentral:ncRNA from 2 species